CCCUUAGAUGUUCUGGGCCGCACGCGCGCUACACUGAUGCAUUCAACGAGUCCGACCUUGACCGAGAGGUCCGGGUAAUCUUUGAAACUGCAUCGUGAUGGGGCUAGAUUAUUGCAAUUAUUAAUCUUCAACGAGGAAUGCCUAGUAAGCGUGAUUCAUCAAAUCGCGUUGAUUACGUCCCUGCCCUUUGUACACACCGCCCGUCGCUCCUACCGAUUGAGUGUGUUGGUGAGGAGUUUGGAUUGGCCUCGGAAGGUGGUUCGCCACCGUCCGUAGCUGAGAAGUUCUCCAAACCGCCCCACUUAGAGGAAGGAGAAGUCGUAACA
rnacentral:rRNA from 1 species